UAUUCUUAAAAGUAAACUUCAAAUACCACCCCUUUAGUUUAGCAUUUUCUCACUUUAAUACCCUAUGGUUUAAAGUGUAUCAAUUUAGUAUCUAGUGGCGUUAUUUUUCUCUUUUUGUUAGCUUCUCUGUUAACAUUUUGUUAAAUUAUAUACAAAAAACUUCAGAUGCGCCACCUAGGUUUAUCGAAUAUUUACUUUAGUACGUUUCAGUUUUAACUUUGUCAUUGAUUUAAUAAAAAAAUUAGUGGAGGGGAUAAUACAAAAGAAAAAAUAAAACCACGGGGCACUUAAUUGAUACACUUUAAACCAUAGGGUACUAAAAUAAAAAAGUGCAAAACCACAGGGGUGGUAUUUGAAGUUUUUCCUCUUUUAAUAAUGUGUCGUGAACAAAAAGAAUCUGUUCACAUGGUGAUUUAAUUUUUCAUACAAUAUUAAUUUAUUAUAAAUUUAUUUAUCUUAUAUCUGUGGUCAAAUAAGAAAAAAUAAAAUUUGAAUUAUGAUUGCAAUGUAAUGUUUAAUUUAUUGCAUCUAUACUCUUAUUUUGAUCAAACAUAAUAUGAAAAUUAAAUAAUCAUAAUUUUUUUAAAAUUAUUUAAGGUUUGGCGCUAAGUUGAAUUAAUUUAUUAUUUUAACUGGUUAGGUGUAAGUCAAAGCGGUCCUAACUAAAAGAAAUAAUAACUUAAUUUACUUUAAAGUAGCUUUGCCGGAUAAUUUUCAAGUUAAUUAUGUAGCACUAAGUUAGAUUAAUUUAUUGUUUCUGCUGUUUGGGUGCAAGCCAAAGUCGCCUCGAUCAGAAAAAAAAAGGUAAUUAAUUGCUUCAAAGAAGUGCACGUAGAAAUUGCACUACAGUAUUAUGUUUAGUCUUCUUCUCCCAAAAGAGGUCUAGAUAUGAAGGUACACGGGUGGUGUAGGAUGGUUAUUUUCUUGUAACUCAUUUGGAGAAAUUUGCUUUGCCAAAGCUGACAAUUUUUUCUAUGAAAAAUUUGAAAUUAACACGACCUACAGAAAGUUUAAAUUAAUCUCUGAUAAAAAGAUUGUGUAUUUAUACUAAUAAUUGCUCCCAAAGGAGGGGUUAUGAUGUCAUAUAAAGCAUGUGCAUAAUAAAAGAAAAAUAUUUAUACUCAUAAUUCUGCUCCCAAAGGAGAGAUGUCGCGAUAUUAUAUAAGGUGUAUUUUUCUAAUUUUAGUAUGGUAAUUCUUGGAUGUGGUAUUUUAUUGAUAAAACAUGCAUUUUAUGUUUUAGCUAUGACUUUAUUCUUUGUUCCUAUCAGUGAUUCUAUUCUUAUAUUUAAUGGUUCUAAUUAUUCAUAGUAGAAAUAACAGAUCAUGCUUACAUUACGGUGCAUGGAUUUCGAUUUGGCUAUAAGAGAGGAUAAACUUGCUCCUCUUACAAAUAAAAGUAGUCCAAUCCAAACAAUAUUUUUAGAAAAGUGGGAACGCUCUAAUCAGCUUUGUUUAAUGCUGACGAAAGCGCGUGUUUGGAAUUCAAUU
rnacentral:lncRNA from 1 species